rfam:Mesocricetus auratus contig064973, whole genome shotgun sequence.
GAAUGUCAAGUAGAUCUGGCUUUGAUCUGUUAUCCUAUGCACCACCAUGGCUGAUUUGGCUGAUUUAACUGGUUAGACGGAUGUCCCUUCUUCCUUAAUUAUUUCAUAUGUGUCCUGUACCACUAUCAAAGGAGACGGCCUUCUCAGAAGGAUGAAGACCAAUUUUCAGUCAAGAGUACAUGAAUAGUUAGCUGUGCUUUCUUGCUAGAAUCUUUAAAUAGGUUCUCAGGGGAAAAAAAUAUGCUACUUUACAAACUCUUGCCAGGACUCCUUCCU